AUAAUACUCCCUCCGUCCAGAAAUACUCGUCGGAGGAAUGGAUGUAUUUUAGUUCUAGAUACAUUCAUUUUUAUGCAUUUCUUCGACAAGUAUUUCCAGACGGAGGGAGUAGUAA
rfam:Triticum aestivum genome assembly, contig: Triticum_aestivum_CS42_TGACv1_scaffold_499776_6BL